UGAAAGAGAAUACUCACAGAGAAACCCACGAGAAACUCAGGUGAGAAGAAGAAGAAAAAUUCAACCACGAACGUCGAAAAAUUCUACCCAAUUUUUCUAUGAACCUUAGUGAUUGAAAGUGAGGUGUUUGGUGUUCUGAAUUUCGUCGACUGAUAGGAAAUUUGAGAGUAAAAGAAAUGGAUUUCUUAUGUCCUCCUGAUUGAAGAUUGGAGGUAUCUCUGGCUUCGAUAGGCGAACUGCAAAGGUUAAGGUUUGAGUAGCGGGUAAAGUGGCAGGAAGCUCUGAUGUAACUGGUGUUGACACGGCUGAAGAAGAGAUUAAUGUAUGGGUCGAGUAAAGGGUUUUUAACUUGUAUAUAGAAAGGUAACUGCCGGUAACUUUUUGGGGGCAGAUCUGUGUAGGUAGAACUUGAGAGUGAUGUACUUUUGCAUGUAAGUGAAGUACCAACUAAUGUGUAGUGUAUAUUAUCUAUCUCCAACUCUUUGUAUGUAAAUAGUUAGUAAUGUACUGAAUAUAGCUAUCUUGGGUCCAGGUCUGUA